GCCACGGUGGUCUAGCGGUUAGAACGCUGGCCUUGUAAUUUUGGGGUCUCGGGUUCGAUUCCCGGCGGUGCCC
rnacentral:tRNA from 1 species